rnacentral:rRNA from 1 species
AUUGAACGCUGGCGGCAGGCCUAACACAUGCAAGUCGAGCGGAUGAAGGGAGCUUGCUCCUGGAUUCAGCGGCGGACGGGUGAGUAAUGCCUAGGAAUCUGCCUGGUAGUGGGGGAUAACGUCCGGAAACGGGCGCUAAUACCGCAUACGUCCUGAGGGAGAAAGUGGGGGAUCUUCGGACCUCACGCUAUCAGAUGAGCCUAGGUCGGAUUAGCUAGUUGGUGGGGUAAAGGCCUACCAAGGCGACGAUCCGUAACUGGUCUGAGAGGAUGAUCAGUCAAACGUGAACUGAGAAAGGGUCCAGACUCCUACGGGGGGCAGGAGGGGGGAAUUUUGGACAAUGGGCGAAAGCCUUAUCCAGCCAUGGCGCGUGUGGGAAGAAGGUCUUCGGAUUGUAAAACACUUUAAGUUGGGAGGAAGGGCAGUAAGUUAAAACCUCGCUUUUUUGACGUUACCAACAGAAAAAGCACCGGCUAACUUCGG